rnacentral:ncRNA from 1 species
AUAAAAUAAUUAUGUUUUUAAAAAUUUAUUAUAAAUUUAUUUUACAUAUAAAUUUUAGUAUUUAAUAUUAAUUAUUUAAAUAAUAAUUAAUUUAAUUUUAUUUGUAGUAAUUAAUAUUAAAAAUUUAAGAAAUUAAGAUUUAGUAAUAUAAAAAUUAAUAACUAAUUUUGUGCCAGCAGUUGCGGUUAAACAAAAGUUAAAUUAAAUUAUUUCAGUUUAUAAUAAGUAAAUAAUUAUAUCAUUAAAAUAAAUAUUAAAUUAUUAAGUGAAAUUUUAAUUUAAUUAAAUUUUAUUUAAUUUUUAUGAUUUAAUAAAUUUUAAUAUAAACUAGGAUUAGAUACCCUAUUAUUAAAAAUUUAAUUUAUAAUACUAAAAUAGUAAAUAAUAAUUUAUUGAAACUUAAAUAAUAUGGCGGUAUUUUAGUUCAUUUAGAGGAAUCUGUCUAAUAAUUGAUAAUCCACGAAUAAAUUUACUUAAUUUAUAAUUUUGUAUAUCAUUGUUAAAAAAAUAUUUUUUAGUAAAAAUAAUAUUUAAAAUUUAAGAUUAUAAUUUAAAUCAGAUCAAGAUGCAGAGUAUAAUUAAGAAUAUGAUGGAUUACAUUAAAAAUAUUUAAAUGAAUAAUUUUAUUGUAAAAUAAAUUUGAAGGUGGAUUUAAAUGUAAUUUUAAUUAAUUUAUUAAAAUGAUUAUAAAUUAAAAUAUGUACAUAUUGCCCGUCACUUUCAUUUAAAAGUUGAAAUAAGUCGUAACAAAGUAGAAGUACUGGAAAGUGUUUCUAGAAAGA